UCUUGCCAAGAGUGGCUGGUGGUUAUGGUUGCUUGCCAAAAGCUUCAGCUAUCGUUGCCUUUACAAGACAAGAACACACCCUCAGCGCAACUGCUUCAGGGCAGUCUGGACACUACAGUGAAUUGAUAUCAGAAAGUGACGAGACAGGCUGGCUGGGCUGGGGCCAGUUGGUUAGCAUGCUAACUUCAGUGGAAGAAAAGAGGUGAACUGGACUGGAAGCAACACACUGGCGUUGCUUUCCGCUGCUAGAGACAGCGCUCAGCGAGUAAAAGAAUGAAGUUUGAUGCUGAGCUCACAACGUCUCCUCUAGACUGCCCCCGGACUGCAAAUGCAUCGAGGACUGCAGUGUCUCGCUGUUCAGCGGCAUUGAAGCCACGUUGCAGAACGAUCCCUGAGAUGAUAAAGAGAGGAAAGUGAAAAGUCACAUCCUGUCACAUCUCAUGAUCUCCCUCCUGAAAUGUGAGGCCUGCAGGGCCUUGAGGGUGACAUCCUCCAUAUACCAACACACCACAACACAGUGAAUGAGGAAGGAGGAGAAAACGGAGGGGGUGAAUGGUAUAUAGGAGGGAGGGAGAGAGAGAGAGAGAGAGAGAGGUGAGGGGUGGAGCAUAUGGAGGAAAACAGAGUGGAGGAUUUAAUGGUAAAUAGGCCUGUGUAGAAGCAACUGAUCCUGUCCCUCCCUAUGUCUCUGAAAUCCUGCUUUUCCUCUCUCUCUCUCUCUCUCUCUCAAUCGCUGUCGGUGUGAGACAGAUACCCCAACCUCAAAGUGACAGGCUCUCAAACGACUGGGCGAGGAAACCAAGCAUUAAUUAAGUCAUUGCCGGACUGUAAUUUCCUUGAGAAGUGAAAAAAUGCACGAGAAAAGGUUACUGAGACCUUUUCUGUGUCAAAAUUACCAUUCGUCAUGAAUAUUAAUGCACCUAAUGAAGACAACCUUUGCUUCAUCAAGAAUGUUCUGGAGCAGGGUGCCACGCUGAUAGACUCUCCCUGGCUGUUUUUCUCCUUCAGUCAGGAGGGGAAACUGGCACACACACACAAGGAGUAAUGGACACACACACAAACUGAGGUUUACCCAUCUGAGUCACCCGCAAGCAUCAUUUUCUUUAUGUGGAGGAAUACAUCUUUUCAAAUGAAAGGCGCCAUAUUUGACCAAACACAGUGUAGACAUUAAAGCAAUACUGUGUAUCGAAUUUAAAGUUUUGUAAUGAUGAUGGUGCAGUUUUUUUUUCAGUGUUUAUGGUAAAAUGCUAUGGAUUUAUGUACAAUAUAAUUAAUGUAGAACAUGUAUUUUAGUUUUAUUAUUACAUUUUUCAUUUCUUUUGAUGAUAUGUAUUUUUGCUUUUUUUUUUUCAAAAAUGGUAAAGAUGGAAAAAAAGAGGAUGCUGUGCAAUUGCAUUAUGGGAAUUGUAGGAUCCAGAAUUUCUUUUUGCUUGAUUAAAAGUCCCUUAUGUGUCUCUUGUGAGUUAUGGAAGUGAAGUACUAAACUGCUGGAGUGCCUCUUUAAUGCUGUGUACACCACAAACAAAUCUCCAUUCAUCUCCACUGUGUUGGCGUGGCAGCAGACAUCUUAUUAACGGAUGCCUUUAAAUCUCUGCAAAUAACACCAAAACUAUCUGCAUGGCAAGAUAACACUAAGGUUAAUGGAUAAAAUAAUUUGUCAUUUCAAUGGACUUUAAUGGAAAAAUGCAAUUGCAGCUUGCUGUAUAUUACUUAAUUUCAUCAUUUUAUGAGAGACAGCUUUGGUCUAGGUGAAUUAAGAGGGUGUGGGUUUAUUACAUAAUAUCUGUCCUUUCAUCAGCAGCUAAACUUUAACACUGACUGCAAAGCACAAUCAUUUGCUGAUAUGUUUUGUCUUACUUUAAUAUCAGCCAAAUCAACCAUAUACACAGAGUAACUUUUGAUGGUCUUUGUUUGUUUUACCCAUGCUAAUGGUGUAAUAUGACAAUGUCGGUCCUACUUUGGUCCACACUGAAAUAUCUCAACAACUUUAGGUGGACUGCCAUGAAAUUUUAGGGUGUAAAUUAUGAAAUACUACUGGGUUUCUACUGGUACUUCAAUGUAAUCUCAGGGGAAGGGAGUAACAAUUGGGUAUUUAUGAGUGCAUUCUCCUCACUUUCAAUCACGCCCCAUCAACAUGCAUCAACAGCCUCAACUGUGUUUUUGGCGCUAAUUAGCACGUCAACACUUUAAAUUAAGAGGGUAAAGGUGGUAAACAUUAUACUUGCCAAACCUCAGCAUAAACAUUGUCAUUUUGAGCAUACUAGCAUGCUGGUGGUAGCAUAUAGCUGAAGGGGCUGCUUUGCCAAAGUACAGUCUCAAAGAGCCGUUAGCAUGGCUAUAGACACUGACUUUUUAUGAGAGCAAAUAUAAAAGCUUUUAUAUACUGGUUGCUGGUACCAGGAACAGAGUAACAGAAGAUGUUUUAAUAAGAAACUGUCAAAGACUGUAACUUUAAAGAUUCAUCUGAUUCUGACUUCACCUGAAAUAACCAGGCAGGAAACAAUGAAAUUAUCCUUUUAAGUGCCACUCUCUCUCUCUCACUCACACACACACACACACACAUGUUGUAGUCGCCACUACUCAGGUGCCAUCUUUGCCCUCCUUACUCCUCAAUGUCUCUCUCCCCCCUUGACACAUACCUCUCAUUAAUUCAGGCCUGUCACAUUGACACACACACUUACACACACACACGCACUCUCGUGGUGUCUCAGCAGAGGGUGACAGCUCAGUGUUGAGUGACAGCAGCUCUGUCUGUCUGCUACAGGAAGAUCUUCUGCUGCCAACAGUUUUGUAAAGUAACCCUCGACUGUCACUGUGAGAGAGGGAAGGGUCAUCUAUUCAUAUGUCUGCCUCCUCAAACCGUAAAUAGCUUUCAGUGAUGUCUUCCCUCAUCCAUUAUUAACUGCUUUUGAAUUAAUGACAGUCUUUUAUUUUGCACACGUAACUCUGGUGUGGUUGUUUGGCACUGACAUCUAGUAGCAAUCCCACCCCAAUGCUCUGAUUAGGAGUUGAAAAUUGAUGUUUAAGAGAAUAUUCCAGGAUUCUCCCAUAGCGGGAUACUCUAUACUGUUGGGAGCUUUAGAAUUUUAGAAUUUGAACCUGACUUUUUCUGACUUUCCCUGAAAGCCUUAAGGGCUCAGAUGGUGUGGAAGGUGUGUUGCACUCAGGUUGUUGAUGUCAUAACAGCGGAAUGGGGAAAAAAUAUCUUAACUUGGAAAUAUCAACAGAGAUUUCUGUCUCCUAUUUCAAAAUAAACUAUUUGUCCUUUGUUGUCAUUUCUUAGAGAUGCAUUCAGCACAGUGGUUUCAUGGGAUCUUAUGAUCCAGAAAACACCAAACUGCAAUAUUUACAGUCUGUACUUGAUUGGUUUGACUUAAAUGGUUGUGAACUAAUGUGUCCAAGAAGACAAUGGAACUUUUGACAUGUAAUAGAUCCUCCUGGACCACAUUCUUUCUCAUCAACACAAAGGCAGUUGAUUAGACCUGUGUCAUCUGAUCAAGCCAUCCACACUUUCAGUUUCAUGUGAGAUCGAGUCUUAUAUAUGAAUGGGUCAAGUUUUAUUAUGACUGUUCAACAGGCACUCCUCACACCAUGUCUAGUACAAUCCACAUUAUAACUUCCGUGUCACAUAUUUUCAAUGUAAAUCCAGUGGAUAACAGGCCAAAGAGGAAAAAAAAAACACCACCAAACAGUAUGAAGCACCAAGAAGUACAAGGUACACUGCCAAUUAUUUUCAGAUGUUUUUGGGUAGAUUUGUUCCUUUAAGGAGCCUUCUUUAUUUUGUGACCUGUGUGUUCAUGAUGUGGAUUUGGAUCGAGUUCAAAUUUCACUACUAGGACUAUGGAGGAUCUCUGGCAUCCCCUAGGUGAGAAGAAUAAAACUGUGAUUUGUAGUCAGAAGUUCUGCCAAGGAAGCCCGUAGCUUGAGGGCUCAGAGAUUCACAAGACAGACAAGAACAUACAGUAAACUGGUCCACCAAACGUCAGAAACACAGGUUUUUUUUUUUUCAUCAUUUGAUCUGUUCCACAUCAGUCUAAGAGAAAAAAAAUAAUUGGCCGUUUAGAGGCACAAAAAGAAAGUUUGCCUUUGUUGUGAAUCUGCAUAAGAGUCACCACCAUACAUUAUCAUGAAUAAUACAUCCAUAUCUCCUCCAUAGCCACGGGUGGUAGGGAUUAGAUAAAGCGCCAUAAAUAAGCUUCAAAGCUCGCUGUAUGCCGUUUUGUUACACCUCGCCAUAGAGGCCUUUCCUUUAAUCACAAACUUAGCCUUAGCUGGUGGGGCCCUUUUGUUGCGAUUGUGCUGGUGUCGCUAUUAGUGUGGGGUGGCCCCGUCUGUACACACGUAUUCAUUUACCUAAUUAACACGGAACUCACACUGGGAGUCAAAUGAAAGCUACCGUAGGGGAGUCACAGAGAAUAAAGCCUGGCGAGGAAGCCCAGCUUCCUACUGUUGCCCGCCACCGGAAUCAAUGGGGAAAAAAAGCAACAACACCCGGACAGGGCUUUGGUUAUGUGUUUUUGUACAAAGAUGAUAAACUGACUCUGUUCACUUAUAAAUAAAUUUGUCUGUCAUUUGCUUCUUAAA